rnacentral:lncRNA from 1 species
AAUCGACGAUCGGCUCCGUUAGACUUGAUCUACACUAUAAAAAAUAUUUGGAAACUAAAUUUUAUAAUUUUUCGGUAUCAUUUACCUAUCAAACAAGUAGUCUAAAAAUGAACGGCUGUGAAUAAAAAUCUCAUAGAAAAUGAUGAUAAAAGACUUGAAUUUAAGAUCAGAGAUAUUGAUCUUAGUCUAAAUAGUCAAAAGAAUUUUCUAUAAAAAUUUCAUCAGAUUUGGAUUGUUUUACACUGUUAAAUUUACAAAUGUAUCACAUCUACCAUUAAAAUUGUCAAUUUUAAGACCUUUUGAUCACUAGCCAAAUGAUGUCGAAAAAUUAUGAAAUUUAGUUUCUAACUACUUUCAAUAGAGUAGAUCAAGUCUAACGGAGCCGAUCGUCGAUUUGGAAGCCGCAUCAUUGAAAACAACUUGGUAGC